UGGAAAUCUCACGGUGAUUUUUACUUGGUCUGUUUGCUGACUGAGUAGGAGGUUCCGUGUGUGUUAUGGUAGUGAAGUAACUUUUGAACAAUGUUGUGUUCCAUGCGAGUCAGCGUAUUGGCCUCCUUCAGUAAAUCAGAAUUGACUGGCCACGAUGGUAGGUCCAAAAUGAAAUCAUGACUACUCCCCACUUCCUUGUGGUCAGCCGCUUGGUGUGUUUCUCAUUUAGAAAGCCAAGAAAAACAAGCUGGUUGCUGAACUCUUUAAUUUCAGAAAGGACAUCCAGAUGGGGUUUUUGGAUCCCUAUGUGUACAAUUUUUGGAAGAUACUUCAGUUGGCAGAUUUGUGCAACUGUGCGAUGAUCAUCUGUGAAAUAGACAAGCUUGAUUCCUUUAUAUGGUGGAAGAAAUCAAAUUCAUUUUGAUACAGAAAAAAAUCUAGCUCACAGAUGUAAGAGCAAAGAGUAUAGGAGGUGGCUGUACUCCCAAGAGACUCUGUCCUUAAGAGCAGUGGCUCUGAAAUAUAGUGAACAAAGUCAGUGUGAACACCUGCUGUGAUCGGGG